GACGAACGCUGGCGGCGUGCUUAACACAUGCAAGUCGAACGAAGAGCGAUGGAAGCUUGCUUCUAUCAAUCUUAGUGGCGAACGGGUGAGUAACGCGUAAUCAACCUGCCCUUCAGAGGGGGACAACAGUUGGAAACGACUGCUAAUACCGCAUACGAUCUAACCUCGGCAUCGAGGAUAGAUGAAAGGUGGCCUCUACAUGUAAGCUAUCACUGAAGGAGGGGAUUGCGUCUGAUUAGCUAGUUGGAGGGGUAACGGCCCACCAAGGCGAUGAUCAGUAGCCGGUCUGAGAGGAUGAACGGCCACAUUGGGACUGAGACACGGCCCAGACUCCUACGGGAGGCAGCAGUGGGGAAUCUUCCGCAAUGGACGAAAGUCUGACGGAGCAACGCCGCGUGAGGGAUGACGGCCUUCGGGUUGUAAAGCUCUGUUAAUCGGGACGAAAGGCCUUCUUGCGAAUAGUUAGAAGGAUUGACGGUACCGGAAUGGAAAGCCACGGCUAACUACGUG
rnacentral:rRNA from 1 species